rnacentral:tRNA from 1 species
AGCUCAGCUGGUCAGAGCACCUGUCUUGUAAACAGGGGGUCGCCGGUUCGAAUCCGGCC